rnacentral:lncRNA from 1 species
AUGCGGCGCACAUCUCCUGCCUGCUGUACUAGUUCCAUUUGCUCUUUUGGAAGCAGGAGCUAGAACUGACGCUUGUGGGGCUACAGGACUUAGGCCAAGACCAGCUUUGUGAAUAUCACUGCGUCAGGUCAAUUUAGUGAAAACAUGAUACCCACAGUGAGCUUCGACACGAGGAAAGUAACUAAAGGUAACAUCACAGUAAAGAUCUGGGACAUAGGAGGACAACCCCAAUUUCGGAGCAUGUAGGAACUAUAUUGCUUAGGAGUCAACGCUAUUGUUUACAUAACAGAUGGUGCAGAUCGUGAGAAGAUAGAGGCCUUGAGAAAUGAGCUACGUAAUCUAGAUAAACCACAGUUACAAGGAAUUCCAGUGCUAGUACUUGGAAGCAAGAGAGAGAUCUUUCUAAUGCCUUGGAUGAGAAACAGCUAAUUGAAAAAAUGAAUGUCUGCUAUUCAGGAUAAAGAAAUGUGCUACUAUUCAAUUUUUUGCAAAGAAAAGGAUAAUGUAGGUAUCACACUUCAAUGAUUUAUUCGACAUUCAAAAUCUAGAAGCUGA